GGCGACGUAGCCAAGUGGUAAGGCAAGGGUCUGCAAAAUCUUUAUGCGUGGGUUCAAUUCCCACCGUCGCCU
rnacentral:tRNA from 1 species